GUGACAUUAUCUUUGUGAAGUUGCAUGCCCCAUGGGAAGUUCUUGGAAGAUAUGCAGAACAAAUGAAUGUAAGGAUGCCUUUCAGGUAGGUGUAAAUGUAUUUCCCCCCACUCCUGCUGCUGCACUGUACACCUAAUAUUCUCUUCUCUCAGAACAAAUAAAACUGAAGUGCAGACUAGAAAGUUAUUCAAGGAGAAAAUCCUUCAAAUGUUUAGGAAAUACAAAUCAGUUUUCAUGGCCAGUAAUGAUUUCAUGGCUUUUGGUGACAAUUUCUGGAUAAUUCAGUCCCUGGCAGGUGGAUAUUUCAAGUGCCUGUGAUUAAAAAAGAGCAUUUUCCAAGAGGAAUUUUCAUUUUAAAAGUGCUACUUCUGGGAGUCCUAUGAAUUGCUGCUUUAAACAGCCAGACUCUAGGCACAUGCUCCUUACUGACUAGUCCCUUCCAGAAAAACAUUAAAAUCUGCUUCCAGAUAAACAAGGUCAAGGAAUUUCAUGAAAAUGUGAUCUAUUUUUUUAAAAAUAGCCUACUUUUAAAUUUAAGACAUCAUAAAUACUGUGCAAACACAAGUGUGAAUAUUUGUUCCAAGGGAAAUAGAAUAUACUCUAUGUGGAUUGCGGAGGUAUUUGAGAGGAUUAUUUACCUUCAUCUCACAGUGAAUAUCAUUACUUUCCCUAAGGAUUAAGAAAAAAUUGAUUUUAAUUUGCUAGAUGGAAGUAAAAUAAGAUAUUAAACCUGAAAUUUUAAAUGCCAAGAUAUGUGUGUACUAGUGAGGGGAUUCAAAAUGGAAUCUUCUAAACAGAGCAAUUUAGUACCAAGGACAGUUCCAAAGUUGAAUUAAGUACUUUGGGUUGCGUUUUGUCAGUAAGUCCAAGUCAUGUACAGGAAUUAGGCAAACUGUAAGAGUUUUACAAAUAACUCUUAAUGGACCAUGGAAAGUUAUGGAGACAAAGAAUCAGUUACACUCACAGAGACAGAGAGAAACUAGACAUGUUGAGAGAAGGAAAAUUUCCAUUCAUAGGCCUGUAAUGUAUCUCCCAGAUGCAUCUUAUUCUCAUUGUUUAUUAGUCUUUAUGUCCUAAUAUCAAGUAAGAAUAAAGACUGGGACUAGCAUCUGUUUUCCUGGAGGCAAAAUUUUCAAAAUAGAUAAAUAUAGUUUUGAUCUUAUGAUUUAUUUUUCUAUUUAAAGUGUUAAAAAGGAAAUCUUUACACUCAAAUUUUUUUAAAAAAUCAUACAUGCACUGAGAAAAAAAUUAAAAACUACUAUACUAAAAUAAUUAAAUCCAGUUAUUUAUCAAUGGUAUCACAACUAUCUAAUAUGGAUUAAUGCCAUAUUAGCUGAAGAGCCAAAAGGGAAAGAAACUGCCACAAAAUAAACUUACAGAAAUUGAAAUGCCUUCCUCAGUCUAAAUUUCACAAGUCCUUCUGCCAAACACUCCUGAAAUGAAGAACGUUAAAAAAAAAAACCAGAAAACUUGAGCAAUGUUUGUGCAAAGCAACCCUUAGUACCUGUAAGGAUUCACAUCUGAAAGAACUGGCUCAUCAUAGGAACAAUUUCUGCAUGCCCGUUAGGUAGCAGAAAAGUGCCACCUCUAAGCAGCAUGAAUACCUUUCUGAAACAGCAUUAAGAGAAUAUUAUCCAAGCAAACAAACUGAAAAUGAAUGCAAAUAAUAAUUUUCUUUUAGAUGUCAGGAUUCCUGAAGAAAAACAAUGUUAGAAAAAAAAUAUUGUUAAUGUGUGUGGCACUAAUUGGCCUCAUUAACAUUGAUGUGAUUUUACUUAAGCAAAGGUUCAUUUGUUACAAUCUAAUGCAUUUAAAAUUUCUGCUGUUAUCUUGUCCAUGGUUUCAAAUAUGUAACUCUAGCCAAAGGAGAUAAUUGCAUUUCCAAAGGAGGAAUUUUCCUGCUGUAUUUCAAUAAAAUAUAAAAACAUCAAUUUGACAUAAUUUCAGUGUCCCAGAGAAUUUUAUUUGUUUUUAUUAUUUUCUGAGGACUAUAAUUCUGAAUCUCAGGUUGGAUAUUUUACCCAACAAUGUUUAAAAAGAAAUUGAAGAAUUGGCUUCUUAGGGGAAAUUGCCAAUAAUACCUGUCUAUGGAUAUAGCUUAAAAAUGUUAAUAAACUUUAUUUUUAGGGCACUUACAGGUUUACAGUAUAUUGAGCAAACAAUGUAGAACAUACCCAUAUACACCUCCUCACCUCACAAUUUCCUUAUAAUCAUCUUACAUUAGUGUAGUAUAUUUGUUACAAUUAAUAGACCAAUGCUGAUUCCUAAUUAUUAACUGAAGUCCAUAGUUUGUUUAAGGUUCACUCAUUUGUUACAGUUAGUUCUUUGGGUUUUGAUACAUUCAUACCACCAUGUAGCUCCCAUUACAAUAUAACAAGGCAAACAAUGUCCUAAAAAUCUCCUGAACUUCAUCUGUUCCUUCCUUCAUCCUUGGCCCAAACCCGUGGCAACCACUGAUCUUUUUAUUGUCCCUAUAGUUAUUGUCACAACUAUGACAAAUGUUUUAUAACAUAUAAAUUUCCCCUCUUCCAAAAUUGAAAAAGCUCAGUAAUAGUUCAGAAUACAUAUAAGCCACAACAGUUUCAUUACUACUUUAUCAAUUGAAGCCUGAAAUAUUGAAAAGAAAUUUCAUUUUAAUAAUACAUCUAACACAUAUAUAUUCUUCCCUCCAACCACAAUGAUUGUUUUUAAGAUUUAAAAAAUGUAAAUAUACAGCAACAUAAGAGAGCCUUACUAAAUCUGAUUUUUAAAAUUGUUUUUAUAGAAUCUCUUGGUUUUAUCUGCUCAGUUCACCUUUAACAAGAGCCAAGGGUCAGUCAGAAUGCCCCAGGUGGUUAUUUUCAAGUGUGUGUUGAUUCUGAUAAAUUAAUGUCCUUCUCGUACUGGUUGUGAAAUAUAUAUUUCUCAUAUUACCCCAAUCUAAGUCAUGAGUAAAGUGUUCUGUAAACUUAAAAGCUAUACCAACAUGGAUUUAAUACAAUAGUGUGCCCAUUAAAUUAUGUAUCCAUCUCUGUGUUUCCCCAGAAAAAAAGCUGAUCUCAGCCAAAUCUGUGCAAAUACCGUCUGUUCCAAAUCAUCUCUGUGCACAUGUUUUGUAGGGAAAAGGCAACCAUAAAAUAAUUAUAGUUAUAAGGAAAGGGAGAAGGAGCAAUGAAAAUGCCUCUUAAGAUUUCAUAACUCAAAAAAGCAUGCCCCAUGUUCCUACUACAUUUCUCACUGUUAAUCUCUUUUUAGUUUUUUCUUCUUCACCUCUUACAGGCUUCUAUCUUCAAUCUCCUUUCCUUCCUUGCUAGUUCAAACUGUAACUGACGAUGGGUUUUCUUCUCGACUGGCUUCAUUUUUGCUGUUCUUCCAGGAGAAAAAUCUAUUACCUGCCCCGUCGGUACAAGUUCAUGAGCAGGUUAGUAGCAUGUUCUGUCACGAUGGGUGUUUGUCUGUCUGCUGGCCUGUGUACUCCAACAAUGACAAGGAGCUACAAACCUAGAAAGAUGUCACAUGGGAAUAUACUGCCAUGCAUGGUCCAAAAGCAGCUGUUUUGAGUUAGACACUCCCUCCACACAUACAAAGAUGACAAUAUCCCCCCUCUCAGAGGCUUCUCCAUGACCCCUUCACACUUGAGAGGAUGCAGUUCAUCCCUAGGUGUGUUGUGCUGCUUUUUAAGCCCAUUUUGUUGGACAAAUUGCAAAAAAUCCCAGUUAUUUAGAGCAUCUUUGGCCUGGAAGUUUUUUAUUUUUUGUAUUUUGUUUUCAUAUAAAUCCCUCCCUCCCAGAAAGCUUCAAGUAUAGAUAGUCACCUUUUUACAAAGCUAAUGACUGCUCCCCCUGCCCUCCGAAUGGGUGAGGUCCUUCCCUGUUACUAACAUUGUAUUAAUAAAAUAUGCAAAUGUAUAACCUUACUUGGGAACUUGGGAGCUCUUCUAACCUUCUAUAUUGGAAAGAGAGAGAGAGAGAGAGAGAACAUGAACUGAAUGAAGAUUUAAUUUAUGGUACUUUGUAUCCUUCUCAAGUUUGUUUUUCCUUGUUUUAUGAGAGGCCAAGGAAAAAGGGAACAAUAUUGUCCCUGAAUUGGAUUUCAUGGUGAUCAUUGGUAAAUCUAAUUUAAAAAUUCUUAAUUGCCCUUAUAUUUCCAUUCACCCUGAGUUGAAUUGAUGAUUAAAUCAGGGAUUCAUAGAGUUUCUCUGAAAAUCCUAUGGUUAGUUCAGUUCUGUGAGAUCUAGGAUUCAGGUUCACUCCAUUCAUAUGCUAUGCAGAGUGGUAAGUAAAAGAGUAUUUGAUGUGGUUUUGUGGGUUUUCUCCAGGGCACAUGUACUCAAUGUGGUAUGGUGUGAGAAUUAACAUUUAAAAAAAAAAAAACUCAAAUGUUGUAGUUUCUCAAAAUUUUCCUAUGCAACAAUCUUAUUAGCAGUUCUUCUUUCAUUAGGCAGUAGACAUGCAUUUGUAUUUACCACAAUUCAGAUUAGUGCCUUUUCAUGUAAUGAUAUUCUGUACAGCCUGGUACAAAGUUCUCAAACUUCAACUGGCAUCAGUAUCACCUGGAAGGCUAUUAAAACACAGAUUUUGAGCCCCCAGCCCACCCCAAGUUCCUGAUUCUAUAGGUCUGUGGUGGGACCAAAGAAUUUUUCUAACAGGUUCCUAGCUGAGGCUAAUGCUGUUGAUCCUGAACCAUGUUUUGAAAACCUCUGAUCCACAUGACACAUUGAUCUGUACAUUCCCAUUAAAUUAAGGGUUUGACUAACUGUAGAUGGUGGGAAUGAAAACCCAAAUCAAAUAACACCUGGAAGAAACACAAGGUGAACAGAAGUUCCUCCCAACCCUGAGAGCACAAUGGAAAUAUCAAGUCCAUGCAGAUAUUGUUUCAGUCUGUUGAUGAAAUCUAUUCCAAAUUCUGAAAGGAAUGGAGGGUGGGCCUUACCCUUGUCCAAGUGCACCAAGUAACCUUUACUCAGUAGAGUCAGUAUGUGUGGGACAGAUCACCUCCUCUGGGAUCAUAAAACCUACAUUAGCACUGUAUGGCCUUGGGCAAGUUACUUCACAUCUCUGAGCCUGUUUCCACACUUAUAAAAUGAAGAUACUAAUUUCUACCCUAUAGGGUUAAUAUGAGGUUUGAUGCCCAGCAUAUAGUAGUUGUUCAAAAAUGGUAUCUAUUAGUGAUUAUUAUUUAGAAUAUUCAUAAGAAUGAUCUUGUGUCUUUACAUACCUCCUAUUCCCUUUCUGCUUCUGAAUUAUUAUCCAUCUAAGCUGUUUCUCCUUUCUUCUCUCCUGUGACUAGUCUACUAACUCUCUGGAAAUUUCUGAUUUUAUGUGCCACAUGGUCAUUUGUAUUCCAUUUAUAUUCCAUAUACUCUCCAUUUAUAUUUUCUAUACAGGCUCCACUAUUUGCACAGUCAUACAAUUUAAACCUCAGGGUCACUCUAGAUGUUUUACCCCCACCCCUCACUCAAUCAGCCUCUCAGGUUCUGUAUAUGCUCCCCCAUGAAAACUUCUCAAAUCCACUCAUCACCCUUAAUUCCCACUACCAUUGCCUAUUUCACAUUGAUUUAUCUUCCUGCUUCUGUUCUGACCCUCUUCCAAACUGCAGUCAUCUUCCUCAAGUAGCAAAUCUGAUCUAAUCUCAUGGUGGUUGCUCUACAGUAAUGAAAAUAAACUGAAAAGACUUACUUAAACACAGCACUUGAUAAAUUGCCUUCACCCAUAUUUACCUUCCCAACACUCUUAACUACUCAUAGCUUCCAAAGACAUUAUGCUUACUGGGGUUUACAUAUCUUUGCUUAUAUGGUGCUUCUUGGUAGCCCUUUCCCAACUUGUUCACUAAAGUAGCAUCUACUCUGUCCUCAAAACUCUGUCUAUGCAUUUGGGAUUUUUUGACCAGGGUAUAUAAUGCCUCUUUUCUGUUGUCCCAUUGGCACCCAAUGUCCCCAUCACCACCUUGUGCUGUACUCUGUGAUGUGGAAUCCAUCUCCCCAUUUAGACGGUUUUUAAAGGCAAGGAUGGCCAUUCAAUUCUAUAUUUUCUGUACCUCAGAUGUAGUAGGUGGGAUGAAUGAAUUCAUGAAUCUCCAUAUACAUGCAUGAGAAAUGGAGUAGAGAAAAAGGAAAUCAUAAAAGAAGCAUAGAAAAACCACAUCUGCCUAAAGUGUCAGAUACACUUAGAACAGAAACAUUUGCCUAAACAAUGAAAGAGGGAUGAAUAGAAAAUGAGUGCUUGAAAGAAAAUGGUAAUAAUAAGAAACAGAUUCUUGAAGUUUAAUGGAAUGUCAAUGUCUUCAAGCCCAGUCACUCAUCAGUCCAUGUUUGAACAGCUCUGGAGAUGGGGAUUCCCCUAGCCAUCCAUGAGCAGUUCUGACAGUCAGAAAGUUCUUCCUUAAAGGAAGCCACAAUUUUUCUCUCUGUAGCUUUUCUUCUCUUUGAUCAUAGUUCUGUCAAAACUGGAGACAAAAAUUAAUCUACAGAGCAAAAAAUGCAAAAGAUGUGAGUGAGAUUGUAACAUUAUAGGAAAAAGAUUUUAGCACUUAGCCAGCAUUGAAACAUUGAAAGUUGGGAAGAAAGAGGUUUUCACAGUUAAGUGAUUAUGAAAAUUUUCUUGAAGGUAACAUAAGAAUGGAAAUCCAUCAGAAAUGGAGGUGUGGUGAGGAAGAUGGUGGUUUUUCUUUUAGUAAUUCUGCAUUAUAACUCACAGAAGGUCUUUGAUGUGCUGGUGUCCUGGAAGCCUUUGGAACUGAUGGCAAAGUAGUCAAAGCAAGAAGAAUCUAAUUUGGAAAUCAGUGGCAUAGAAGUCAUGACCUUAGCCCGAGGAGGGUAUGGAAUUUCCUGGUAAAGGAUAUAAAGAAUGAAGAAGACUAAUAGCAAUUCCUUGGCAAGACUAUGUUAAGGGAACCAGAGGAGAGAGGAGGUUGAGAAAGAACAAUUUGAGAAUAGAAGGAGAACAAAGAAUGAGCAGUAUCAAAGGCACUAGGAAUGAGGUUCCAUAAGGAAGUGCAGUCUUCAGCUUCUGAAUGAUGAGAACUGAGAAUCUGCUAGGGAUAUUUAGAAAAUGUUGAUUAUCUCCAUGAUAGCUGUCUCCAUAGAGGUUGUUCUCAUUGUGCGUCAGGAUUAUAAGAGGACUUUUAAAAACAUAUCACUGGAUCCAUAUCCAGAAUUUAUGAUUCAAUAGAUUUAAAGUAUAGGUUGAUAAUUUGCAUUUCUAUCAAAAUCCCAACUGAUGCAGAUGUCGCUGGUCCAGGACCACAAUUUGCAAACCAUGACCUUAGAGUGGAAGGUAUGGGAAACCUCUUUACAGCUGAUAGGGAAAGAAGGAGGACCUGAUUCAUCAGAGGCAGUGAGGGUUCAUUACAACUUAAUAAGUUUUAUGAUAGAAGAAGAAAUAGAGGACAUGAUUUGGAAUAGGAACCAAGAGGAGGGAAGCAGAGUAGACCAUGAGCACAUGAUCAUUCACUCUCCACGUGUGCAGAGGAGACGUCUUGUAUGAAUGAAAACUUGGGAAGUCCUUGUUUUCAGAGCUAGAAGAACAGCUUACUAAACCUGAUCUUUAGCCUGAGAAAGUAGAUGCUCAUUCAAGUGCAUAAAUAACAAUUGUGGGAGAAUUCAGGCAUUGGAGGGCACUGGAAGACUGUGUGACAAAUAAAGGAAAACCACAUCCCAACAACGGUAAUAUGACAUGUUGAUCUAGAAUGGCCUCUUAAACAGGCUCCAUUGCUUGCCAUAUAGCACUAAGUUAUGAACCCCACUGAACUGAUGUGACUUUCUGAAGCCCAAAGUCUUGUGUAAAUUUUAAAAUGUAGUUAAGUAGAAAAUUUUUGCUUCAAUUUUAAAUCUAGGCUUUGUCCCAGAACGGACUGACUGAGAUGAUAAAGAGGAUCUGUCCCUUUUUGCUAGCUCUGGUAUUCCAAGUUGAAGGGCACAUCUCUGACUCUGAUCUUGAUACCACCCCAGUAAUGAAAGACUUGACAUCUAGCAUUCUCAAUCUCUCCCAUCAUACCAAAUAUGGAUAUUUAAUUUUAGCUUUUAAUUUCAUCUAUGUUAAAUUAUAUUUAAUUUUAUAGUUCCAUAAAAGCAUCCCUGAAACAAAUCUAUCUACUUUAAAGAUAAGAUAAAUUAAUUAAAAAUUCUGAAGUUUCUAAACAGGCAGAGAAAUAAAAUGUCGUCUUCUUCUUCUUCUUUUUAUUUUUCCAGUAUCUUCAUUUCAAAAUGUCACCUGACUUCCCAAAGCACACUCAAAUAUUUCAGACUUGUAUUUUUGGAAUAAAAAUUCUUCUUAUCCAUCUAGUUCAUCUAUUAAAUAAUGCUUUGGAUCUUGUCUUUGCGAUGCUUAUAGGCAUUAUAAAUUAACUAUCCAAUAAAGAAGGAGGAUUUAUCAUCCUCCUUCUGCCUUUUUUUCCCACCACAAAAUAGUACAAAUAUAGUCCGUAGAAGAUGUGAUUAUAGAGCAAAAUCUGAUUACUGUGGGUGGUUUACCACUAAAGUCUCAUUUCUACUCCCUGCUUUCCCCUCCGCCCACCACUGCCAGACUUCUAUCCUUUAUGAUACUUGACAGAGUGAAUGCCAGGCCCUAUUGCAUUGUAAAUUCAGUGCAUCACAAUCACAGCAGGUGAGCAUACAAGCAAAAUGACAAAAUGGCUUGUAUUUUUCCAUUCCCAUUUUUUUAAAAAAAAUUAAUAUAUGUAAGUUGUUCCAAGUCUUUGGACUCUUGCAAGGUAUUUGAGCUAUGCCCCAAAUUAUAGUCCUGUGGCCUAAAAGAAUCAUAUUAACUUGCAAAGAUCUCUAACUCCUAUCCAGGGAGAAGCUAUAAAUGUGGUGAACUUCGCUCUAAGAAAAAAAAAAGAAAGAAAGAAAGAAAUUCAAGCCUUCUGUUUUCUGUUGCUGCCUCCAUUAAACACACACACACAACAACAACAACAACAACAACAUCAAAAUUUUAUCUGUAGUUUCUCUCUAGACAUACCAUUUCUGAAAAUGUUAUUUGUUAGAAAAAUGAGACUAAUCUGGUCUGGGGAAAAAUAGGUGUAUGUAUUCAUUUAUUUUGGUACCAAGGACUGAAUGAAUACAGGGGUGCCUAACCACUGAACCACAUCCCCAGCCCUGUUUUAUUUGUUUAUUUUGAGAAAGGGCCUAAGUUGCUUAGGACCUCACUAAAUUGCUGAGGCUGGCUUUCAACUUGCGAUCCUCCUGCCUCAGCCUCCAACCAGCUGGGUUUACAGGCAUAUGCCACCAUGCCUGGCAAUGUGUAUUUUAAACAUGUCUUUAAAGUACACAUGUUUCCUUUCAUUCAAUAUGAUCAAGUUUCCUUUUUUGGUACAGUGGAUUGAACCCAGGGGACCUUAUCUACUUAGCCACACCCCCACCCCCAGCUCUUUUUUAUAUUUUAUUUUUAGAUAGGAUCUCACUAAGUUGCUUAGGGUCUUGCUAAAUUGCUGAGGCUGGCUUUGAACUUGAUCCUCUUGCCUCAGCCUCCCAAGCUGCUAGUAUUACAAGUGUGUGCCACCACGCCCAACCGUGAUCAAGUUUUCAUGAGGACAAACUCCACCUUGGAUUUUAGAGUUCAAGGGAAACGACUCUUUUCAUCUUCCUCAGGGUACAUCUGCAGUAUCUGAGUGGGGACUCUGCAUAUGGAGUCUUUGCAUAUAAUUUAUAAAGGUCCACUGACAGGUCAGCAUGUUAGGAAGAAGGCCCUGUGCAUAGGGCCUUUUUUCUAAUCAUCACCACUCAUAAGGUGGGUACGAUUAUCUUCCCUUUACAGCUGAGAAAACCAGGUCAAAAGGGUUAAGCAGAAGCUUCCUAAGAUGCACCUUGGGAAGCCAGGCAAGCCUACCCAUGUGCUAGCACUGCAUUGGCAGGCCUCUCCAGCUGCUUUUCCAAGAACCUCACCAGCCAUGAACCAGCAUUGAAAGAGGUACCCAAGCUCAGUCUCAGUACAACCUUCUAUGUAAAAGUCCAGAUAUUAACCUGACAAGUCAAGGCCAGAAAUGCCCAAGUGGACAGUUCAUCCUCUCUUUAUUGAUUUGCCUGUGCAGUCUAUAAGAGGGUUUUUGCUCAGUAAAUGGAAAUGGAAUAAAUGUAUCCAACCAAAAUCAAUGUGAAAUCAUUAAUCCAAUGUGUUCUCUUUUCUUUUCUCUGUCCAUGGAGACUUGAGGAAGUUAAAUUUCACUCUAACACUAAAGAGACAAACGGGAUGAUUUCCGAUUAGUUUGGUUCCCAGCUUUAACCCAUCAGAGUAAAUUUCAGGUUUGCCCAUUUAGGGAUGUUUAUUAGAAGCAGCAUGAUAUCAACGACCUCAGUAUACAAGGGAUAAUCGUAGCUUUUGAAUUUCUGUUAGGAAGAGAAUUCUACAUAAAAGUUUUCUGUCAUUAUCAUCAUCAUUUUUUUUUCAUCCAGGAAACCACUACUUCAUUGAGCCCUUUAUACAUCUAAGGCCUUGUACAAAUACUUGCUAUUAAUUGUUUUGUUUAGUCCCCACUCUUCCUAAUGUGAUGGGCUCUAUCAGCUCAGAGAGGUUUAGUUACUGGCCCAACCUCUCAUGCUUCACAAGCUGUACAACUGGGCUGUGAACCUGCUCCCAGCUGACUCCAGAACCCACUGCUGUAUAUGGAAAGUUUUCCAUUCACUGUUGUUUCUUUAAAAUGAUACAACCAAAAUCCUGCCCAAGUCACCAACAGCAAGUAAUAUGGAGAGAGCAUAUUAUUGAUCAUCAAUUUAGAGAUGAUGGCACUAAGGCUUGUCCCAGGUCACACUCGUGUACAGUGGUGGAAUUGAGAAUCCAGCUUGAGCCUCUUGCUUCCCAGCCCAGUGGCUCUUGCAUGGUGUGUUUCUCCUUUGCAUGGUUGAAGGAGAUCCUCAGCAAUGUCAGUCCUCAGCAAUGUCUCAGUGUGGCAGUUUGGAAACGGAAAUGUGUUUGUGAAGAGCAGCCCAGGGCAGCAUCACAUAUCUUGUCCCUACCACAGAGAAAAAGACUCCCAUUCUCAGAGUCCCCUACCUGCGAGGUGGGAAUAGCAGCCUGUGGAAUGGCAGCCUUGGUACCUCCAGAGCCCAGCUCACCAUGGCCAGGCCUCAAGGAGAGGGUCAGACCAAGACUAUUAUUAAGAGGUGUAUCAGUGUCCAUUGCUGUCCUAACACAUUACCACAAAUUUAGCUGCCUACAACAACACAAACUUAUUAUCACAGUUCUGUAAUUCAGAAGUCCUGUGGAGGAGGGCUCAGCUGAUUUCUCUGUUCAGGGUUUCCCCAAGCCUACACCAGGGUAUUAGGCAAUCUGAGCUCUUGUUUGGAAACUUAUUUGGAAGAGAAUCUGCUUCCAGGCUCAUUCAGGUGGCUGACACAAUUCUAGUUUGCACAAUUAUAGGACUAAAGUCUGUUCCUUUGCCGGCUGUUGCCUGAAAGACACUCUCAGCUUCCAGAGACUACCUGCAUUCUCAAGCUGUGAAACUUUUCAUCUUCUAAGAUAGCCAUGGCAUAUCAAAUCCUUCUUAUGCCUUGAUAUUCUCUGACCUCUCCUUCCUCCACAUGUAACCUGCCUCCCACAAGAGAAUAAUCUCUGCUUUGAAAGGACUGAUGUGGUUAAACUGGAUCCAGGAUGUUCUUUCUACCGUAGUCUGGAAACUUGUUUAUAUCUUCAGAGUCCCUUGUGCCAUGUAACCUAACAUAUUCACAAGUUCUGGGGAUUAGAGUGUGGGCAUCCUUGGAGAGCAAUCCUGCCAACCUCAAGAAAUUAACUUCUGAACAUGUUUGAGUGUUUGUUUCCAUUAUUGUGAAAAACACAGAGCAUCAGCAGGCAAGUGGGAUGAAGCCUGGAGGGUCCACGCUUUGUACCGCCUUUGUUCAGGCUCCCCAGGGAUGGCCAGUCCAUCUCCACCACCCUGCAAGCCCAGCUAGUAUCUUGGGAGUUUUGUUUUUAAGAUGUUCUUUUGCAUGUCUUUAUUCCACUAUCAUGUUUUUUUAAAAUCCAGUUCUUUAGCUUUCUAUCACUUUCCCCUUUGUUCUCUGUGGUCCUCGAGAGAUCACUAGUAAUGCUUGAUAUCUGCCUCACAGUUUCUCCAAAGCAUUUCACACACACCAUCUUUUAUGAGCCCCUUAACCAUCCUGGAGGAUCAGUAAGAUGGUGAUGAUAAUGAUGACUAUUAUUACUGUCAGCCUACUUUAUAACCCUGGAAAACAAGGCUCAGAAAGGUGAAUGACAUUGCUAAUAAGCAAUAGAAGCAGAUUUUAGGUACCUGAUGGCAAAGCCCAUCUGUCUUCUACCAUGCCAGUCAAUCUCCCUUUGCUCCUUUCUCACUUCCUGUUACCCUUAUGUUCCAAUUAAUUAAUCAUUUUCAUUACCCUGUUCUACUCUCUCUUCGCCAUCUCCACAUUUCAUUUAAAUUGUGGUGCCACAGCUGGCUGCUAAAAGCUGCCAUUUCAUUCCCAUGGAGUAUUUAUGCUUGAUUUUUUUUACAGCUUUGUUUGUUUUUAUCCACACUGAGCACUGUACCCAGCUGCAUUGAAUUCAUAGUCAUUGCAUGCAGAGCCCAGAUUCUGCAAAAUGUAAUCCGAUUAGUGCUGCAUACUGGAGAUGUGUGGGAGGUAAAGCUCUAUUAUGGAAAACCUUUGGGCCAAUGUCCUCUUUCUCGAAUCAGUUUUAAGGCAAUCAGAUGGGGAAAAAAAGGCAAGGCACUAUGGGGAAGACCACCAGCUUAGUGUAGGAAGUCUAAUUUAUGAGUCCAUUUAAGGACUAAAUCAUUGAGUUUGGGCAGGCAAUAGAGGCUGGCAAAGCACAAUUAACUGAAUUGAAAGCAAAAAGAAAUGUUAAGAGGCAAGCCAGUUGCUCAAAUCCUUACUUUUAAAAUAAAAAAAAAAAGAAUAAGAAAAAUCUUGAUCAUCAUAGCCAGAUACUGUUCUGAAGACUUUAGGUGUACAUUAAUCAGUUCAUCAUCACAGCUCUAUGAACUGGGUAUCAUAAUCAUGCCCAUUUGGCUCAUGGGAAAAGUUGAGGCUCAGCAAAGUGAGGUGAAUUGCCCAAAGUUGCACUGCUCACAUUCAUUCACAGAGCCAGGAUUUGAAUCUAGGCACUUCAGCCCCAGAAUUGAUGUUCUCAAUCACUGCAUCAUGCUGCUACUCUGAAGCCCAUCAUCUCGCUAUAGUUUAAGUAUCUUAAAAGAGAUGAUUAAGGUCAGGGUAGGACAAAGAGGAUGAAGGAUGGAGGAGAGGGAGAUUUUUUUUUCCUUUGUGGGGGUGGGGGUGGAGCUUUGGACCCUUUUAAUCUACUAUAUUUUUUGGCUGUAUGACCCUGGGUAGAAUCUUUACUUCUUUGUAUGUUGGGGAGAAGACAUGGGAAGAAUUCCUUUCGGGGUCUAAGGCAGCUGUGAGAUUCUUUCCAGCUGGGACAUUCAGGGAUUCUGAGAAAGGACCACUAUAGUAAGGCAGAGUUAGAGUCACAAUGAGGCUGGACUAAUGCUGAGGAUAAAUGAGGUGGUAAGAGGAAUUACCAUUAUUUUUGUGUGUCAGCUUGACUGGGCUAAGGAAUGCCCUGAUAGCUGGUACCACAUUAUUUAGGUAUGUGUCUGUGAGGGUGUUUCCAGAGGAAUUAGCAUUAGAAUCCAUAGACUGAGUAAAGAAGUUGACUAUCACGGAUGCAAGUGGGCACCAUCCAGUUCAUCAAGAUCCAGGAUGGAACCAAAAGAUGGAGGAAGUGAAAAUGUGCUGUCCGCUGGAACUUGAACAUCCAUUGUCCUGCCCUCUGGCAUCAGCACUUACACCAUUGGAUUAAGAUUAAUGCAGGCCAAGAAAUCCCAUGACUUGUGGUCUGCAAAGAGAAGGCCUAGGAAAUCUCAUGGUAUGAGUCCCAGUUUAAGUCUGAAGGCUCUCUGUGCACCAAAGUUGGAGGGCCAAAGGAAAUGAAUCCAAAAGUUAAAGUAGAGAGCAAAUUGUCCUUCCUUUGCCUUUUGGUUCGAUUUGGGCCCUCAACAUAUUGGAUAACGUCAGUCUUCACUGGUGAUGGCCAGCUUCUCAAUCUACCAAGUCUACCAAUUCAAAAGAUAAUCUCUUCUGGAAACAUAUUCAUAGACACACCUAGAGUAAUUUAGUUUUACCAGCUAUCUAGGCAUCCCUUAGCCCAAUCAAAUGUACACAUAAAAUUAGCCAACGCAGUCACUGAAUGUGAUAAGUUACCAUGAAACAUUUUCAAUUUGAAAAAAAAAAAAAGAAACAUGACUGAACUGUAUAUGUUUUCAGUUUAUAGAGUCAUUAAAAUAUUUUCUUCUCCAGAGGAAUUUGUUUCCUCUAGAUCCCUUAAAUAUCCUCGUUAUCAAUUGUGUAGUGAUCCCUAAGAUCAAGUCCAAAAUCUACAUUUUGGUUCUGGCUUUAUUCACUGGCUAGAUAAUGUACGCUGGAUAAUCUUCCUCUCAGUGGUCCCGUUUGUGAUGAGUAAUGUGAAACUGGUACCUAAUAUAGAUGGUGUUUAAUCUGGGGGAAGGGGAAGGCAAUGGUGUUUUAAAAUCUGGCAUUUUUUUUUUUUUUUGUUCCUUCUAUUGGUUUACCAUGAACAAUGAUUGAGAACUUGCCAUUUGGAAGCCAGAAGUGUUUAUCAGUGGAAUUCAGUAGGACUAAGGGAACAGGGACAUAGUUGGGGAGAAAAAUGUGGCUUAAAAACCAUGUUUGCAGCACUGUUGUUUCUUUGGCACCAUUGUAUGCACUGGUCAGAGAGACACCUUGUGACAUGAUACCCCAGGAUCAUGCGAACCCUGAAAUCAGCUAGAAAAGGGAAUGAAAGCUGACUGACAGGUGUGCUAUGUGCUGAGAGGCAGCACAGAGAUGGUGUGAGAGACAGGAAGCAAACCACGGCACCAGGCUCUGUGUCCACAACUCAAUCCACUGGGAUGUGCCGUCCAUCACUUGUCCCCCAGAGAAAGUUCAUAGCUAGAGCUCUUCUCUGACAUCAGAGGUUUUCCAAACAUCUAACAAAUCUCUAGCACCUACAAAAUAUAGGAAGUUCAGGUCUCUGCUGAUUUACUUAGGGACGAUUGGCUUUCUUUCCAGAGCCUUCCAUCCUUUUGAUAGCUACUUGAACAUUUAUUGGCCUGUGGGUGGACAUGGAGCUCAUGGCUGCUAUUUCAAAGGUGAUAAAAUGGAGGCUCUUCUGUGAAAUGGAAACCACACUGGGCUUCCAGCUCUCCUCUGCCCCAUCUCUGAAGUAGGGCUGCCAUGAGUGCAGUGAGUGCCAGGAGUGUGUGUGUGUGUGUGUGUCACCAUGAUGGCUCUGUGGAGAUGUCUCCCCUGUGUUUCGGGCUGAUGCUGACUAACAUGCUGUCCCCUUUGGUCCUGCCUUCCAUGUACCACAGGAUCGAUAAACAGAUAAGCAGGUUUCGGAGAUGGUUACCUAAGAAGCCAAUGAGGCUGGACAAGGAGACACUGCCCGACCUGGAGGAGAACGACUGCUACACUGCCCCUUUCAGCCAGCAAAGGAUCCAUCAGUGAGUGUUUUGUGUUAAAACCCCCAAAUUACUAAGGAGGUGAAGCUGUGGCAGAGCCUACCUUCGUAGAAGGAGCAGC
rnacentral:lncRNA from 1 species